CCCUUCGCGGCCCUCGGUCUCGUUUUUCGCUGAUCUCGGGUUGAGGCAUCUGAACGCACAAGGAACCGGGCAGUGUUCUCAUAGUGUGGUCCUGCUUAAAGGAGCUGGCUAGGAUGAGACAAGGGCCACCAUACAGUCCCAUCAGUGCAGUAAUGCUUCAGCAUCUGGUUACCUAUCCUGAAGUGUUCCUGUGUCUUCCAGGAUGAAUACAGGUCUUUGUGAUAAUUUUCUCCAUCUUAAGGAGCUUCAUCUUGUUCCUGUAUAAGAUAGAACAAUCCAGAUGCCUCUGGUAAUAGAGGUUGUUUGCCAGAGAUGACUGCUGAUUUCAAGAACCGGAUUUACGCGGAGGCUGGGAAUGAUGAGGGGAGUUAAACAUGUUUCCUGCUCAACUGAAGGUUGCUAUCAUUGGUAAGUAAAUUUACUUCUAUGAGGUAUGACAAUUAAGAUUUCCCAAUGAAGAAAUACGCACAUGUCUUACUUCCUGUCCUCGCCUCAGAGCCUGUAAAGGUGAACCCACUGGGGCUGGCUGGGGGAAGAGAGGAAAAUUGUUCCAGAAGGAACUGUCUGAGGGAUAUCAAGACCUCCUACAAGAGGAAGUAAUAAAAACGAAAUGGUACUAAGACAUGUUUUUUUUUCCCCAGAUCUGAAGGAUGAGACCAUGCGAAUAGGAGCCUCAAGCUUUGGAGAAUACUAAAGGAAAAUUUCAGACUGUUUUCUAAUCCAGUUUCAACUUGCUUCAUUCUCAU